UCUAGAAAUAUCAAUAUCAGAAGAGCAAUUGCACUCCGUAUACACAAAAAUAAGAUUAUUUAGCUAUGUGGUUGUGCCACUGUUGUAUUUUCAAUAUUCCAAUAAAGUCCCUAUAACUAGAAUACGAUUACAGAGAAAUAACUACAGAGAAAUAAUCAAAGCGAUUCACUUCAGAGACAUGUUUAAAACCUUCGAUCGAAGAAGAGGACAGAUGAUAGACUGAUUCUUUUUUGAUGUUAUGUUCCAUGUUGAGUUUGCUUAAAGAACUUGUUUCAGUUUCUUUGGUUCUAUAAACAGUUUCCAAGAUGAAGACAACAAGGGGGAAAGAUAAAGCUAAGAACACCAAGGAAGCCUUGAAGCCUGUUGAUGACAUGUUCAUCCUCUGAAACUAUAUAAAGGAAAUAAAUUUCUUGCUAAAUCAUUGUCUUUUGUUGUUUGAUCUCAAAUAUAAAGGUGAAAGCUUUUUCUUUCAGAAAGGUGAGAAAGAGGAAGGCACGGCUGAGAAGGUUAGCAUGCGGGAGAAGAAGGCCAAGAAGGAUCCAAACAAACCCAAAAGAGCUCUCAGUGCCUUAUUUAUCUUCCUGAAGCGCAGCUAGAAAAGGGAAAAGGCAGGAGAUGUAGAGGAAUAUGACGAUGAUGAUGCUAAUGAAGACAAGGAAAAAGAAAGACUAUUGCUUCAAUAUUAUUGUGGGAUAUCUGUGUAAUUUCACUGCUGCUUUUCUAUCCAACUAGCUAAAUAAUUUUUUUUCUGCA